rnacentral:lncRNA from 1 species
GUCCGUGCGCUACUGGCAGCCGAGGGCCCGCUCUGUGCCUGUAUCCCGGAUCCGGCUUGCAGGUAAGAAGUAACACGGCAUGUACUGCCAUCCUACCGGGGCUAGCAGGCCGUGUCCAGCCCGGUGUGAUAACACUCGGCUGGUCUCCCCGCGGCCCUCGACCUGGCAUGUCGCGUUAAGACCAGGCCCAUUGUCCAGAGAGCCGAGCCCAGCCGGGUGUGUGUCUGUCCCGGGCAGCGGUGCGGCCUACCUUGAUCGGCUCAGUACAGUUACCGUAACCUCGUGUGCAAGCCCUAGCUCUCAAAUCGAAUGGUAAAACCUCCCCCACAGUGGGAGACCCCGGGCGCCCUCUGCCACCCCCACAGUGGGAGACCCCGGGCGCCCCUCUGCCACCCCCACAGUGGGAGACCCCGGGUGGCCCUCUGCCACCCCCACAGUGGGAGACCCCGGGUGGCCCUCUGCCACCCCCACAGUGGGAGACCCCGGGUGGCCCUCUGCCACCCCCACAGUGGGAGACCCCGGGUGGCCCUCUGCCACCCCCACAGUGGGAGACCCCGGGUGGCCCUCUGCCACCCCCACAGUGGGAGACCCCGGGCGCCCCUCUGCCACCCCCACAGUGGGAGACCCCGGGCGCCCUCUGCCACCCCCACAGAGGGAGACCCCGGGUGGCCCUCUGCCACCCCCACAGAGGGAGACCCCGGGUGGCCCUCUGCCACCCCCACAGUGGGAGACCCCGGGUGGCCCUGCGCCACCCCCACAGUGGGAGACCCCGGGUGGCCCUGCGCCACCCCCACAGUGGGAGACCCCGGGUGGCCCUGCGCCACCCCCCACAGUGGGAGACCCCGGGUGGCCCUGCGCCACCCCCCACAGUGGGAGACCCCGGGUGGCCCUGCGCCACCCCCCACAGUGGGACACCCCGGGCGCCCUGCGCCACCCCCCACAGUGGGAGACAACGGGCGCCCUCUGGCGCCUCCCCCCACAGUACGAGACCUCUGGCGCCUCCCCCCCGAAGUACGAGAUCCUGGGGACCCAAUGCAUGCAGAGGGAGUCAUUGUGGGUGGCAGAUACUGACAUCGGGGACAUGUUUUAAUCCUGGUUGUGUAAUAACUUCACUCAUGCAACCCCUUCCCCUGAAAAAAAGGAUGUUAAUUUUUCAAAUUUAAGCCAAAAUACUAUCGAUUUAUUUGAAGGUUACGAAAAGAAUCUUAUAUUCUUUUUGCCAGAGUUCCUUUAAUAAACAGAAGUAUUCUUGAAUUAGGAACACUCAGCUUCUUAACAACUACAGCAAAAUACUGAGCAGUCUCCUCUUUUAAGGUGUUCAAUGGCAAGGUAGGGAGUGGUAUUUUUUUGGGGGGAGGGAGGGUGAGGGUAGAGACAUUAGGCAUGUAGUAGUAUUUUGAUUUUCCUUCUGUCCAUUUCUGAUAAAGAUUCAUGACAAAUUGUUUUUUUUAGGAAAUAAAGUGGAAGAUGUCUUACAGAACUGGCCGUUAUGAAGAGCGUUUGUUGCACAAGUGUGAGGUAAGUAUUUAUAGAUGUGAGUUCCAAAUUAAAGUGGUUUUGUCAACUCAAAUUUGCCUUUCUCCUAUUGCUUUAUCUUCUCUUGCUCUGUGGAAUACAGGUAGUUCCUGAUUUUAUGAACUAAUUGGUUCAGAAGCCUAGUUCAUAAAGUGAACUAAUUUCCCAUAGACUGCAAUGUAAUUAACAAAGGUUCCAUUCCUGACCAAGGAAUUUUACCAUUGAAAAGUUAAAUUAUUAAGUACAAAUCCAAAAUGAAAGCAUUGCAAAUACAUAUAUGUUGUAGGAACAUUAAAGGGAUACAUACCAUAUUGAAAUCUUCAUCAAAUCAUCAUCAGUUAUCUUCCCUUCUCAAUGACAUGUUGAACGGUGAAAGUGAAAGGAUCCAGUGAUCAUCAGUCAGUGUUGUUCAAUAUAAGAACAGUGACUGAGUAACACCACACAAAAACAAAAGUUUUAGACUUUAAAAAAACAGACUUUUCUAAAAUUAGAAAAUGUGUGAAAGAGUCAGACUGGAGCAGUUUAAAUGGAGUCAAAGAGAAAUGGGAUUAUUUAAAAGUGGCUCUGCUGAAGGCAACAGAAAAUCUCCUUAGGCUUGUCAGUAAAAGCAAAAAAUUUUAAAGGAUCACUAUAGUGUCAAGAAAACAAACCCGUUUUCCUGACACUAUGUCAUCCUUGGGGGACCCUCACCCUCAGGGUCCCCCUCCCGCUGGGCUGAAGGGGUUAAAACCCCUUCAGCCACUUACCUUAUUCCAGCGCCAGGCUCCCUCGGCGCUGGUGACCUCUCCUCCCCCGCUGACGUCGGCUCCCUCUGCCGUCAGCGCAUCCGAAUGCGCAUGCGCGACAAGUGCCACGCACGCAUUCAUGCAGUCAAUAGGAAAGCGUUUCUCAAUGCUUUCCUAUGGACGCUCUCCGCGAUGGAGGCAUAAUAUGUCUCCAGCAUCGCAGAUGCGCCUCUAGUGGCUGUCCGUAAGACAGCCACUACAGGCUGGCUUAACCCUGCAAUGUAAACAUAGCAGUUUCUCUGAAACUGCUAUGUUUGCAUCUGCAGGGUUAAAACCUGAGGGACAUUGCACCCAGACCACUUCAUUGAGCUGAAGUGGUCUGGUUGACUAUAGUGUCCCUUUAAGAAACCACUGUGGUACUCUGCAGAUGUGGCCAAAAUAGUAAAAAACUAAAAGCUAGCAUUUAGUAAUUAUAAAAAAAACCCAGAGUGAGGAAGACAGAAUGAUCUAUAAGAUUAGGCAGAAAGAGGCUAAGCAAGUUAUAAGAGCUUCCAAAUCACACACAGAAGAGAAAACAGCACAGUCAGUAAAAAAGGGGGAUAAAACAUUUUUUAGAUGCAUAAAUGAGAAAAGGAAAGUAAAACAAGGAUUAGUUAGAUUAAAAACAAAAGAAGGAAGGUAUGUAGAAGAGGAUAAAGGUCUAGCUGACUGCCUCAAUUAAUAUUUUUGUUCAGUAUUUAAUUAAAGAUGAAAAUGAAGGAGAGGGACCUCAGUUAGGAAAAAGGACAAAUUAGUUAUUUGUUACAUGUGAGUUUACAGAGGAAGAGGUUCUAUUUCAACUAUCAAAAGUUAAGACAGGUCAGUGGGACCUGAUGGAACACACCCAAAGUUAUUAAAAGAGCUUAGUGGUGUACUAGUAAAACCAUUAACAGCUUUAUUUAACCAAUCAUUUUUAACAGGAGUAGUUCCAGAAGAUUGGAAGUUGGCAAAUGUUGUGCCCAUUCACAAGAAAGGUAGUAGGGAGGAGUCGGGCAUCUAAAGGCCAGUAAGCCUUACUUCAGUAGUUGGGAAAGUAAUGGUAACCAUGGAUAGGAUUGUUGAACAUCUAAAAUCACAUGGAUUUCAAGAUCAGCGACAACAUGGGUUUACUUCAGAGAGAUCAUGACAAACUAAUCUUGAUUUAUUUAUUUUUUUUGAUUGGAUAACUAAAAUAAUAGAUCAGGGUGGUGCAGUAGACAUUGCUUACCUAGAUUUCAGUAAGGCGUUUGACACUGUUGCACAUAGCAUGCUUAUCAAUAAACUGUAAUCUUUAAGUUUGGAUUCCAAUAUUGUUGAAUGGGUAAGGCAGUGGCUGAGUGACAGGCAACAGAGGAUUGUAGUCAAUGGAGUAUAUUCGAAGCAUGGGCUUGUCACCAGUGGGGUACCUCAGGGAUCUGUACUUGAACCCAUUCUCUUUAAAAAAAUUAUUAGUGAUAUUGCAGAAGGUCUUGAUGGUAAGGUAUGUCUUUUUGCUGAUGACAAUAAGAUAUGUAACAGGGUUGAUGUUCCAGGAGAAAAAUGGACAGAGUUGUGGUAGCUGACAUUUAAAGUGGAUAAGUGCAAGAUAAUGCAUCUUGGAUGUAAAAUCCCAAGGGCAGAGUAAAAAAUAUUUGAUAGAGUCCUAACCUCAACAUCUGAGGAAAGGGAUUUAGGAGUAAUUAUUUCAGAGGACUUAAAGAUAGGAAGACAAUGUAAUAGAGCAGCAGGAAAUGCUAGCAGAAUGCUUGGUUGUAUAGGGAGAGGUAUUAGCAGUAGAAAGAGGGAAGUGCUCAUGCCCUUGUACAGAACACUGGUGAGACCUAUUGUACGCAGUACUGGAGACCGUAUCUCCAGAAAGAUAUUGAUACUUUAGAGAGUUCAGAGCAGGGCUACUAAAUUGGUUCAUUGAUUGUAGGAUAAAAUUUAAGGAAAGGUUAAAGGAACCUGUAUAGCUUGGAGGAAAGACGAGACAGGGGUCCUCCAUCAUGGGUCCACAGAUAGCCGACACAAAAUUGCAUCACAUCCGGGAAGCGUACGUAAAGCGUGAGUUGUAAACCGGGAAAUGCCUGUAUGUUUGUGCUAUGAAAAUGCUGAUAAUAGUGAUUACGGGCUUGUGUACAGGUGCUUGGCAAUGACAGCCAUUUUCAGGCUGCCAAAGACAAAACCAUUUUUAUGUGGAUGUUGCUUCUAGAAACUGCUUAGAAUAAAUAGUGAAUGUUGCAACAGAGGAAAAGUAUUUUUUAGGAGUUGGUCUUCUGCCCUAUUCCGUGAGCUUGUGUAGCUUACCAUUUUGCAGUUGCAUCAUUGUCUCUAUGUCCCCACUUAAAGUGGCUCUGUUACUAUGUCGUGUCUUUGCAUAAUCUGGAAAGUCCCCUGAAGGAAAUCGCUGUUUGGGGUCCUGGGCCUGGGAAGGGGAGCAGGGUAAAGUGAGUAUACAUACCGGAACCUGUUCCUUGUGAAUGCUGCCACCCUCUUCCUGUAGCUUUUCUUUUGCUCCUGGUGCUUCAGCAUGGAGGUCUAUGGAGGACCCUGUGAGAAUAUAGAAGGAGCUUAAUUUUCAUACAGUCCUCACUGAUGACGGGUGGGGGAAAUGACCAGGCUUAACGACAGUAGCUCUGCCUUGUGUCAAGCUUUGUCAGAAGUAGGAAAAAUACUUAUUUUGAUUGGGUAGGAAUUUCAGUGAAAUUCCAACACAGUCAAUCAGAAUAUUUUAAUAAAGAUUUUAUAUUUAUGAAACUCUCAUUUGAGGAAACUGUACACUUGCAAACUGGAUUGAAAUUGUAUUUGAAAUUGUUACUUCCUCUUGGAAAAUGCCCCCUGCUAAUAGUACACCUCAUCUCAACGUUAUGGUAAUUCCACUUCAUGCAAAGGUUUGCAUGUUCUGAUACCACACAGUCCUAAAAAAGCACCUUUGCAUGUACCCCAGUGGAUAUGUGGAAGACAAUUUUGCAGAAUCUCUUUACUGCUUUCAUGACAGCGCGUUAUAAAAAAAACUCAUGGAUUGUCUUCAGUAGAUCCCUGAAUCGAAACUGCAGGUGUGGAGCUGAGCCUGACCAACCCAAGACAAGAUAUCAAGCGUUACUAAACUGGCACCAUAACCACUACAUGUGUCUGUUGUUUAGCGUGUUACUUAAAGAAAUUAGCCACUGUAUGCAUAUUUCAGCUAAUGUCAUUUAAAGCAGCACUGUCACUUGUGGAGUAUGCAUUUUUAUAGAUUUUGAUUGUGUUCAUUUCAUGGGAGUUACAACACAGUCAAAAAGAGCUUUUUAUACAUUUUAUAUCUUAAUGAAAAACUUACGUGAAAGAGCCGCUUUGAAUCUGACAUAUGAACUGCGUUCAUAAAACGAAUGGAAAAAUUAUUUGAUGCAAAUCUAUAUUUUCCUAUGCUAUGCGCGGCAUGAGCUGUGCGCGCAUUCAGCCAGUCCAUAGGAAAGCAUUCUCAAUGCUUUCCUAUGGAUGCUGGCGUCUUCUCACUAUUAAAAUCACAGUGGGAAGCUUCUCUAGCGGCUGUCAAUGAGACGGCCACUAGAGGCUGGAUUAACCCUAAAGUAAACAUAGCACUUUCUCUAAAACUGCUAUGUUUACAGCAGGAAGAGUUAAUCCUAGAUCAGUGAUGGCGAACCUUUUUGAGCCGAGUGCCCAAACCGUAAUACAUGCCAAUUGUUUUUUCCUCAAAGUGCCAAAACGGCAAUUAAACCUGAAUACUGAGGUUUAAGUUUAGAAAAAAACAACUCAUACAGUUGUCCGAACUAAUUAACAUCUCAGUGUGUGUAUUAAGCAGUUUGUGUGUGUGCUCGGUAGUCUGUCUGUGUGUAUUUAGCAGUCUGUCUGUAUUUAGCAGACUGCUGAAUACACACACAGACUGCUGAGCACACAGACUGCUAAAUACACACACACACACACAGACUCCUGAGUACACACACACACACACACAACACACACACAGACUCCUGAGUGUACACACACACACAGACUCCUGUGUGUACACACACACACAGACUCCUGUGUGUACACACACACACAGACUCCUGUGUGUACACACACACACAGACUCCUGAGUGUACACACACACACAGACUCCUGAGUGUACACACACACACAGACUCCUGAGUGUACACACACACACAGACUCCUGAGUGUACACACACACACAGACUCCUGAGUGUACACACACACACAGACUCCUGAGUGUACACACACACACAGACUCCUGAGUGUACACACACACACAGACUCCUGAGUGUACACACACACACAGACUCCUGAGUGUACACACUCAGACUGCUGAGUGUACACACUCAGACUGCUGAGUGUACACACUCACACAGACUGCUGAGUGUACACACUCAGACUGCUGAGUGUACACACUCAGACUGCUGAGUGUACACACUCAGACUGCUGAGUGUACACACUCAGACUGCUGAGUGUACACACUCAGACUGCUGAGUGUACACACUCAGACUGCUGAGUGUACACACUCAGACAGACUGCUGAGUGUACACACUCAGACAGACUGCUGAGUGUACACACACACACACACACAGACACACAGACAGACUGCUGAGUGUACACACACACACAGACACACAGACAGACUGCUGAGUGUACACACACACACACACACACAGGCAGACUGCUGAGUGUACACACACACACACACAGGCAGACUGCUGAGUGUACACACACACACACAGGCAGACUGCUGAGUGUACACACACACACACAGGCAGACUGCUGAGUGUACACACACACAGGCAGACUGCUGAGUGUACACACACAGGCAGACUGCUGAGUGUACACACACAGGCAGACUGCUGAGUACACACACAGGCAGACUGCUGAGUGUACACACACAGGCAGACUGCUGAGUGUACACACACAGGCAGACUGCUGAGUGUACACACACAGGCAGACUGCUGAGUGUACACACACAGGCAGACUGCUGAGUGUACACACACAGGCAGACUGCUGAGUGUACACACACAGGCAGACUGCUGAGUGUACACACACUGCAUUGAGGGGUACAGUGUAUGUGUUUGUGUGUGUGUGUGGGGUGAUGUGAUGUGGGGUGGUGUGUGUGUGGGUGGGUUGAUGUGUGUGGGGUGAUAUGUGUAGGGCAGGGGUGCUGUGUGUAUGUCGUCCCCCUUCUCCCCCCACCCCCACACUGUUUUCUUUCCCCCCAUCCCUCCCUCAUUUUUUUCUCCCAUCCCACACUGUUUUCUCCCCCCAUCUCUCCCUCAGUUUCCCCCCAUCUCUCCCUCAGUUCCCCCCAUCUCUCCCUCAGUCCCCCCAUCUCNNNNNNNNNNNNNNNNNNNNNNNNNNNNNNNNNNNNNNNNNNNNNNNNNNNNNNNNNNNNNNNNNNNNNNNNNNNNNNNNNNNNNNNNNNNNNNNNNNNNAAGUGGUCCUUUAAAUGUUAUCUUUCCUUAAAUAUGUAAGAAUGUAAACCAUGUAGCCAGCAGAGGUAAAAUUGUUCAUAUUCUUAAACGAUCAUUAUAUUUUCCGAAAGUACAAAUGGAGUUGAUACUGUUUUUGCAAACCACAAAUAUUCCUAGUAUCAAAAUGAAAGUGCACUUGCCUAUUUCUUUCCUUUCACCCGACUUCUUCUAUCUGUUACUCACUUGUCUUUAUAUGGAUGUAUACCUACCAUAUAUAUGAUCUGUUAUUGUCUCUGUCUCACACUGCACCCCAGACUCCUACCUGCAGAUCUUCUCUAGGUUUCACCUUCCUCAUGGAAUGCCCUCCAAUGCCACAUUUAUUUUCCUAGUCUCUACAGUCCUUUAAAAACUUAUCUAUCUAUCUCCUUAAAGGGUUACUUCAAACAUCAUGACCAGUUCACUAAAUUGUAGUGGUCAUGGUGGUAGGAGUCUGUAUUGCAGUUUUUGAAACACUGCACAUAUAAAGAUAUUGGCACCUGUGUGCCCGGUGCUAGUUGCACCCCCAGCACAUAUGACAUAGACAGCCUGGAACUUCGGACUGCUUAAUGUUAAUUCUGUGCAUAUUUUACGUAAGCUGCUGGAGACUUAACCUCUUCAACAAUUUCAACUUUCUGUUCUUCCUCAAUAGAUCUGUAACGUCAAGUGCAGUUCUGCUUUAGAUCUAAAUUAUCAUUUCAAUGGAAAAAAGCACAAGGUAAGCACUGGAAAGUCAAAUGUGUAUUAUCUUAUUAAGUUUUCUAUUAUAGCGCUGUCUAGCAAUUUCAU